rnacentral:rRNA from 1 species
CUACAGGCUUAACACAUGCAAGUCGAGGGGAAACGACAUCGAAAGCUUGCUUUUGAUGGGCGUCGACCGGCGCACGGGUGAGUAACGCGUAUCCAACCUGCCCACCACUUGGGGAUAACCUUGCGAAAGUAAGACUAAUACCCAAUGACGUCUCUAGAAGACAUCUGAAAGAGAUUAAAGAUUUAUCGGUGAUGGAUGGGGAUGCGUCUGAUUAGCUUGUUGGCGGGGUAACGGCCCACCAAGGCAACGAUCAGUAGGGGUUCUGAGAGGAAGGUCCCCCACAUUGGAACUGAGACACGGUCCAAACUCCUACGGGAGGCAGCAGUGAGGAAUAUUGGUCAAUGGACGAGAGUCUGAACCAGCCAAGUAGCGUGCAGGAAGACGGCCCUAUGGGUUGUAAACUGCUUUUAUAAGGGAAUAAAGUGAGUCUCGUGAGACUUUUUGCAUGUACCUUAUGAAUAAGGACCGGCUAAUUCCGUGCCAGCAGCCGCGGUAAUACGGAAGGUCCGGGCGUUAUCCGGAUUUAUUGGGUUUAAAGGGAGCGUAGGCCGGAGAUUAAGCGUGUUGUGAAAUGUAGAUGCUCAACAUCUGAACUGCAGCGCGAACUGGUUUCCUUGAGUACGCACAAAGUGGGCGGAAUUCGUGGUGUAGCGGUGAAAUGCUUAGAUAUCACGAAGAACUCCGAUUGCGAAGGCAGCUCACUGGAGCGCAACUGACGCUGAAGCUCGAAAGUGCGGGUAUCAAACAGGAUUAGAUACCCUGGUAGUCCGCACGGUAAACGAUAAUGCCCGCUGUUGGUCUGAAUAGGUCAGCGGCCAAGCGAAAGCAUAA